CAGUGGGAGAACUGUUUUCAGCAUUUCCCACUGAAUCAUCCAUUGAAUGUUGUUGUUGCCAUGGUUCCAGCUCCUCCUCCUCACACUCCAUAAACAGAUCCGCAUCCAUGUUUCUGAAAUAUAAAAUCAUUCAGCUGGAGCGGUUUCAGUGUCAAGACUGGCGUUUACAAAACCACCUCAUCCUGCAAAUUCCAUAAAUACAUUAACGACUGAUGAAAACUCCCUGGCAGGGUGCACAGACCUCUAUCUACUGUGCUGUCACUGAGGGCUUAGUAAGGAAGUCUGGCUGCUACUUCAGGU